AUGCGGCCGUUUGGGCCCCCGGAAAUAAUAGCGUGGCACGAGCUCUUGGAUGCCAUCGCGCCCCACGAGCCGGAUCUUGAGUUGCCCCACGAUCGCCUAUCCUGGAGCUUAGAGCCCUCGGGCGCCAUCUCCACCAAGUCCUUAUACCGGGCCAUCGCGCCCACUCCCGGACCUGAGCCACUGGUGGCGAUCUGGUCGGUCAGACUCCCUCUGAAGAUCAGGAUCUUCCUUUGGCAAUGGAUCCGUGGACGUAUCCCAUCCAAAGUGGAGGUGUUAAAACGGAAUGGCCCGGGCGACGAGAUGUGCCCUCUGUGCGGGACGGUCGAAGAUUCCAACCACAUCUUCUCCUGUGUUUCAGCCCAGUUCCUCUGGAGCCGCCUCCGCAAGGUGGUCGGUGGUGUAAUACCAACUUCCCGAACCUCUUCGCCGAGAUCCAGGAAUCGCCCUUUUCUAGCCGUCACAUUAGGUGGCUCGCGAUCGGGGUCCUUGUCUGGACGUUGUGGACGGUUCAGAAUAAACUUGUGA
rnacentral:rRNA from 1 species